ensembl:lncRNA
GUCUGGUCUCCUUCACCACCAGUAGGUAAACUCCCUCUGUAGUCUGGUCUCCUUCACCACCAGCAGGUAAACUCCCUCUUUACCUCUGUAGUCUGGUCUCCUUCACCACCAGCAGGUAAACUCCCUCUUUACCUCUGUAGUCUGGUCUCCUUCACCACCAGCAGGUAAACUCCCUCUUUACCUCUGUAGUCUGGUCUCCUUCACCACCAGCAGGUAAACUCCCUCUUUACCUCUGUAGUCUGGUCUCCUUCCCCACCAGCAGGUAAACUCCCUCUUUACCUCUGUAGUCUGGUCUCCUUCACCACCAGCAGGUAAACUCCCUCUUUACCUCUGUAGUCUGGUCUCCUUCACCACCAGCAGGUAAACUCCCUCUUUACCUCUGUAGUCUGGUCUCCUUCACCACCAGCAGGUAAACUCCCUCUGUAGUCUGGUCUCCAUCACCACCAGCAGGUAAACUCCCUCUUUA